GACGCGCGGAGCUGCUUUGCUAUCUUGAUCACAUUUUACGCUUCAUUUACAAACCGCGGCGGACACAGGACGGACGACACGACAGAUCGGCAACUCCGGAACGACACUUUUCAAUUGAUCGCUGCGGGGAUAAAGGACAGCUAAAUUGAUUACGGAUCAAGUAGCGUUUUAAUAGCACGAAGAAAUAAUAAUAAACGAAAGAACAAAGGAUAUAGAAGCCGGAGCGAUAAUCAAAGAUGACGGUGGAUCGAGA